rnacentral:rRNA from 1 species
GAAUCUUGCGCAAUGGGCGAAAGCCUGACGCAGCAACGCCGCGUGCGGGAUGAAGGCCCUCGGGUUGUAAACCGCUUUCAGUGGGGACGAACCAAGACGGUACCCACAGAAGAAGGUCCGGCCAACUACGUGCCAGCAGCCGCGGUAACACGUAGGGACCAAGCGUUGUCCGGAUUCAUUGGGCGUAAAGAGCUCGUAGGCGGUUCGAUAAGUCGGGUGUGAAACCUCCAGGCUCAACCUGGAGACGCCACCCGAUACUGUCGUGACUAGAGUCCAGUAGGGGAGCGUGGAAUUCCUGGUGUAGCGGUGAAAUGCGCAGAUAUCAGGAGGAACACCAGCGGCGAAGGCGGCGCUCUGGGCUGGAACUGACGCUGAGGAGCGAAAGCGUGGGGAGCGAAC